rnacentral:rRNA from 1 species
UAAAGCCAAAGACCCUCCGGGCCGUCACACGCAUACGAGGACACGAAGUUCACACACGAAAGUAGCUUUAAAUUACCCGACGCCACGAAAGCUAAGAAACAAACUGGGAUUAGAUACCCCACUAUGCUUAGCCAUAAACACAGAUGUUGUCAUUACACAAACAUCCGCCAGGGUACUACAAGCGCUAGCUUAAAACCCAAAGGACUUGACGGUGUUUCAGACCCACCUAGAGGAGCCUGUUCUAGAACCGAUAAUCCCCGUUCAACCUCACCACCCCUUGCUCUUCCCGCCUAUAUACCGCCGUCGUAAGCUUACCCUGUGAAGGGCCUACAGUAAGCAAAAUGGGCAAGACCCAGAACGUCAGGUCGAGGUGUAGCUUAUGGAGUGGAAAGAAAUGGGCUACAUUUCCUUCACUAAAGGAUAUCACGAACGACUUCAUGAAACUGAAGUCCCAAGGUGGAUUUAGCAGUAAACAUUAAUAGAGUAUUAUUUUGAAGCCGGCUCUGAAACGCGCACACACCGCCCGUCACUC